AUUGAACGCUGGCGGCAUGCCUUACACAUGCAAGUCGAACGGCAGCACGGGUGCUUGCACCUGGUGGCGAGUGGCGAACGGGUGAGUAAUACAUCGGAACAUGUCCUGUAGUGGGGGAUAGCCCGGCGAAAGCCGGAUUAAUACCGCAUACGAUCUACGGAUGAAAGCGGGGGACCUUCGGGCCUCGCGCUAUAGGGUUGGCCGAUGGCUGAUUAGCUAGUUGGUGGGGUAAAGGCCUACCAAGGCGACGAUCAGUAGCUGGUCUGAGAGGACGACCAGCCACACUUGGACUGAGACACGGCCCAGACUCCUACGAGAGGCAGCAGUGGGGAAUUUUGGACAAUGGGCGAAAGCCUGAUCCAGCAAUGCCGCGUGUGUGAAGAAGGCCUUCGGGUUGUAAAGCACUUUUGUCCGGAAAGAAAUCCUUGGCCCUAAUACGGUCGGGGGAUGACGGUACCGGAAGAAUAAGCACCGGCUAACUACGUG
rnacentral:rRNA from 1 species